CCUACGGGGGGCAGCAGUGGGGAAUUUUGCGCAAUGGGGGAAACCCUGACGCAGCAACGCCGCGUGAGUGAUGAAGGCUCUUGGGUCGUAAAGCUCUGACAGAGGGAAAGAAAUGUGGGUGGCUAAUAUCCAUACCACUUGACGGUACCCUCAAAGGAAGCACCGGCUAACUCCGUGCCAGCAGCCGCGGUAAUACGGGGGGUGCAAGCGUUGUUCGGAUUUAUUGGGCGUAAAGCGCGUGUAGGCGGUUUUAUAAGUCUGAUGUGAAAGCCCCGGGCUCAACCUGGGAAGUGCAUUGGAUACUGUAAGACUUGAAUACGGGAGAGGGCAGUGGAAUUCCUAGUGUAGGAGUGAAAUCCGUAGAUAUUAGGAGGAACACCGGUGGCGAAGGCGGCUGCCUGGACCGAUAUUGACGCUGAGACGCGAAAGCGUGGGUAGCAAACAGGAUUAGAUACCCCGGUAGUCGAA
rnacentral:rRNA from 1 species